rnacentral:rRNA from 1 species
CGUGUAGGCGGUUUGGUAAGUCUGAUGUGAAAGCCCUGGGCUCAACCUGGGAAGUGCAUUGGAUACUGCCAGACUUGAAUACGGGAGAGGGGAGUGGAAUUCCUGGUGUAGGAGUGAAAUCCGUAGAUAUCAGGAGGAACACCGGUGGCGAAGGCGGCUCCCUGGACCGAUAUUGACGCUGAGACGCGAAAGCGUGGGUAGCAAACA